rnacentral:rRNA from 1 species
AGUCGAGCGAGCGGAACUAACAGAUUUACUUCGGUAAUGACGUUAGGAAAGCGAGCGGCGGAUGGGUGAGUAACACGUGGGGAACCUGCCCCAUAGUCUGGGAUACCACUUGGAAACAGGUGCUAAUACCGGAUAAGAAAGCAGAUCGCAUGAUCAGCUUUUAAAAGGCGGCGUAAGCUGUCGCUAUGGGAUGGCCCCGCGGUGCAUUAGCUAGUUGGUAAGGUAAAGGCUUACCAAGGCGAUGAUGCAUAGCCGAGUUGAGAGACUGAUCGGCCACAUUGGGACUGAGACACGGCCCAAACUCCUACGGGAGGCAGCAGUAGGGAAUCUUCCACAAUGGACGCAAGUCUGAUGGAGCAACGCCGCGUGAGUGAAGAAGGUUUUCGGAUCGUAAAGCUCUGUUGUUGGUGAAGAAGGAUAGAGGUAGUAACUGGCCUUUAUUUGACGGUAAUCAACCAGAAAGUCACGGCUAACUACGUGCCAGCAGCCGCGGUAAUACGUAGGUGGCAAGCGUUGUCCGGAUUUAUUGGGCGUAAAGCGAGCGCAGGCGGAAGAAUAAGUCUGAUGUGAAAGCCCUCGGCUUAACCGAGGAACUGCAUCGGAAACUGUUUUUCUUGAGUGCAGAAGAGGAGAGUGGAACUCCAUGUGUAGCGGUGGAAUGCGUAGAUAUAUGGAAGAACACCAGUGGCGAAGGCGGCUCUCUGGUCUGCAACUGACGCUGAGGCUCGAAAGCAUGGGUAGUGAACAGGAUUAGAUACCCUGGUAGUCCAUGCCGUANACGAUGAGUGCUAAGUGUUGGGAGGUUUCCGCCUCUCAGUGCUGCAGCUAACGCAUU